rnacentral:lncRNA from 1 species
GAGGCGCUUGCAAGAGCUAGACUGAUGGGUGGACGUGCUUUUUUUGAUGGCUCGUGGUGACGUGGAAACGCCACGUCUUGCUAUGAGCUAGCAAGCCGGCUUAGGGGGUGUUUGGAUACGAGGUGUUAAACUUUAACAGUGUCACAUCGAAUGUUCGGAUGCUAAUUAGGAGAACUAAAUAUGAGCUAAUUAUAAAACUAAUUGCAGAACCCUAUGCUAAUUCACGAGACGAAUCUAUUAAGCCUAAUUAAUCCAUCAUUAGCAAAUGGUUACUGUAGCACCACAUUGUCAAAUCAUGUACUAAUUAGGCUUAAUAGAUUCGUAUCGCGAAUUACACUUCAUCUGUGCAAUUAGUUUUGUAAUUAGUCUAUAUUUAAUACUCCUAAUUAGCAUUCAAACAUCCGAUGUGACAGGUGUUAAACUUUAACACUAGUGAGCCAAACAGGCCCUUAACCUUCGAAGGAGGCCUAUCUUAGUAUUACGAUACUACUAUUCAUCAUUGUACGAGUUUUGAUUGCAUACAACUCAUAAUAUUUUUUUUCUAUGUAUAAAUUAAGAAAAUAAGAUUACUGUAGGACAACAUAAAAAGACAACUCAUUGCACAUAUUGUUUAACACUACAUGUUGUUCGUUAAGUCAUUUUAAAAUUACGUAUCAAUGUAUGAGACCGCCUAUUAACAAUACCAAUGUACUUGCCC